GACGAACGCUGGCGGCGUGCUUAACACAUACAAGUCGAACGGAAAGGCCUCUUUCGGGGGGUACUCGAGUGGCGAACGGGUGAGUAACACGUGAGUAACCUGCCCUUGACUUUGGGAUAACUUCAGGAAACUGGGGCUAAUACCGGAUAGGAGCUCCUGCUGCAUGGUGGGGGUUGGAAAGUUUCGGCGGUUGGGGAUGGACUCGCGGCUUAUCAGCUUGUUGGUGGGGUAGUGGCUUACCAAGGCUUUGACGGGUAGCCGGCCUGAGAGGGUGACCGGCCACAUUGGGACUGAGAUACGGCCCAGACUCCUACGGGAGGCAGCAGUGGGGAAUAUUGCACAAUGGGUGGAAGCCUGAUGCAGCAACGCCGUGUGCGGGAUGACGGCCUUCGGGUUGUAAACCGCUUUCGCUCAUGACGAAGCUUUGCGUGACGGUAGUGGGUAAAGAAGCACCGGCUAACUACGUG
rnacentral:rRNA from 1 species